UAGUCCACGCCGUAAACGAUGAUCACUCGAUAUUGGCCUCCGGGUCAGUGUCCAAGCGAAAGUAUUAAGUGAUCCACCUGGGGAGUACGCUGGCAACAGUGAAACUCAAAGGAAUUGACGGGGGCCCGCACAAGCGGUGGAGCAUGUGGUUUAAUUCGAUGAUACGCGAGGAACCUUACCAGGGCUUAAAUGCAGAACGACCGGCGUGGAAACAUGCCUUUCUUCGGACGGACUGCAAGGUGCUGCAUGGUCGUCGUCAGCUCGUGCCGUGAGGUGUCGGGUUAAGUCCCAUAACGAGCGCAACCCCUAUCUUUAGUUGCCAGCGGAUAAUGCCGGGGACUCUAGAGAAACUGCCAGCGUAAGCAGAGAGGAGGGGACGACGUCAAGUCAUCAUGGCCCUUACGCCCAGGGCUACACACGUGCUACAAUGGCGCAUACAGAGGGUCGCAACAUAGCAAUAUGAAGCCAAUCUCAAAAAGUGACGUCUCAGUUCGGAGUUG
rnacentral:rRNA from 1 species